ACUGCUCAGUAACACGUCGAUAAUCUGCCUUUAGGUUUGGGAUACCCUCGGGAAACUGAGGCUAACACCGGAUAGGGGAAGAUAACUGGAACGUUGCUUCCUUUAAAGGCAACGCCUAAAGAUGAGUCGGCGGCCGAUUAGGCUGUUGGUGGGGUAACGGCUCACCAAACCAAAGAUCGGUAGGGGCCUUGAGAGAGGUAGCCCCGAGAAGGGCACUGAAAUACUGGUCCUAGUCUUACGAGGUGCAGCAGGCGCGAGAACUUUACACUACACGCAAGUGUGAUAAGGGAACCCUAAGUGCUUUACUUAUAGUAAAGCUUUUGCCAAGAGCAAAAAUCUUGGCGAAUAAGUGGUGGGUAAGACGGGUGCCAGCCGCCGCGGUAACACCCGCGCCACAAGUGGCAACCACGUUUAUUGGGCCUAAAGCGUCCGUAGCUGGUCUGGUAAAUCUUUUGUGAAAUUGUUAGGCUCAACCUAACAACGUGCAGGAGACACUGCUAGACUUGGAACCGGAGAUGGGUCAGAAGUAUUAUUGGGGUAGCGGUAAAAUGUUAUAAUCCCUUUAAGACUACCGAUGGCGAAGGCAUCUGACUAGAACGGGUUCGACAGUGAGGGACGAAAGCCAGGGGAGCAAACCGGAUUAGAUAGAGAUUUUUGCGAAAAUAUUCGGAAAAAACAAUUAAGUGGGACAUUGUUUCGCAAAUCCCAUGAAAUAGACUUACGUUUGCAGUACACUACUAUAAGUCUGAUUGUAUAAUAACGCAGAAUAUCUCCUAAUUACCCGAGUAGUCCUGGCUGUAAACUCUGCGAGCUAGGUGUUGCAUAUUCUUCGAGAAUGUGCAGUGUCGAAAUGAAGAUGUUAAGCUCGCCGCCUGGGAAGUAUGGUCGCAAGGCUGAAACUUUAAGGAAUUGGCGGGGGAGCAC
rnacentral:rRNA from 1 species